rnacentral:rRNA from 1 species
UAUUAGUGGGGGACAACAUUUCGAAAGGAAUGCUAAUACCGCAUACGUCCUACGGGAGAAAGCAGGGGAUCUUCGGACCUUGCGCUAAUAGAUGAGCCUAAGUCGGAUUAGCUAGUUGGUGGGGUAAAGGCCUACCAAGGCGACGAUCUGUAGCGGGUCUGAGAGGAUGAUCCGCCACACUGGGACUGAGACACGGCCCAGACUCCUACGGGAGGCAGCAGUGGGGAAUAUUGGACAAUGGGCGCAAGCCUGAUCCAGCCAUGCCGCGUGUGUGAAGAAGGCCUUAUGGUUGUAAAGCACUUUAAGCGAGGAGGAGGCUACUUUAGUUAAUACCUAGAGAUAGUGGACGUUACUCGCAGAAUAAGCACCGGCUAACUCUGUGCCAGCAGCCGCGGUAAUACAGAGGGUGCAAGCGUUAAUCGGAUUUACUGGGCGUAAAGCGCGCGUAGGCGGCUAAUUAAGUCAAAUGUGAAAUCCCCGAGCUUAACUUGGGAAUUGCAUUCGAUACUGGUUAGCUAGAGUGUGGGAGAGGAUGGUAGAAUUCCAGGUGUAGCGGUGAAAUGCGUAGAGAUCUGGAGGAAUACCGAUGGCGAAGGCAGCCAUCUGGCCUAACACUGACGCUGAGGUGCGAAAGCAUGGGGAGCAAACAGGAUUAGAUACCCUGGUAGUCCAUGCCGUAAACGAUGUCUACUAGCCGUUGGGGCCUUUGAGGCUUUAGUGGCGCAGCUAACGCGAUAAGUAGACCGCCU